CAAAAUGGUGGGAAAUGAAAUUAGAAAAAUUGCUGGAGUAGAAGGGUAGGAUAGAGUUUUGUUUAGUAGGUUAAAUGAGGAAAAAGGGCAGCUGAGGCAUGGAUGUGGUGGUGAGAUCUUGAGUGCAAUUUAAGGACAGGGAAGGGAAGGGAAGGGGGCCGUAGAUAGGAGGAUGGUUCUGGUUCCUCUCUUUCAUCAUUAUCUUAAAUCCUAUCUUAUCUUCCUAUGGUACUUCUUCUUGCACUCUGCUGCAUCCUUGGGGUGGUCCCUCCCUCCUUUCUUUCUUUCUGAUUUGACUAAUCCUUGGAGUUUGAUUGAUCGCAACUCCCAAAACAAUUUGGAGUCAUAGUUUAUGAUUUUGGAAUUUGAAAACUUCAAUUUCUUUUGUUGAUUUAAUUAGAUAAAUAAUUAUUUAUUGAAAAAUUUACUAUUACAAUACAAAUGUUUAUAAACUUACAUUUGAAAUACUUGUUUGCAAGAGUAGUGUUUUCCUUGUAAUUCAGGCAUGAGGAGAGGGAAAGGUUUAACAACUAAUCCACAACCCAAUGGAUCCAAAUGAUACUCCUUGAUGGGCUUAUUUUUGGAGCCAUUUUCCGUUGUAUAUGAAGCCUUGAAAUUGGAAUAACACCAACUUCCUAAUUUUUCCCCCGAAAAAUAUCGAAAGCCCUAACUUUGCCGGUCGAGCCUAAGGGCGGAAGCCGCCGUUUUCUCCUUCGCGACACUCACAACUCACCAGCUUUCUUUUGAAUCCCAAAAAGAAACAAUGUCUCGUGUGUACGUGGGUAACCUUGACCCACGAGUUUCGGAGCGGGACCUUGAAGACGAGUUUCGUGUCUUUGGAGUUAUUCGGAGUGUAUGGGUUGCUCGAAGGCCACCUGGUUAUGCUUUCAUUGAUUUUGAGGAUCGCAGAGACGCCGAAGAUGCAAUUCGUGAAUUAGAUGGCAAGAAUGGCUGGAGAGUUGAGCUUUCUCAUAAUUCUAGAGGAAGAGGCGGACGUGGAGGUGGUCAGGGAUGCUCUGGUGGUUCUGAUUUGAAGUGUUAUGAGUGUGGUGAGCCUGGUCAUUUUGCUCGAGAAUGUCGCAUGCGUGGUGGUUCAGGAAGACGCCGCAGCAGCCGCAGCCCUAGAUAUCGUAGUAGCCCAAGCUAUGGACGCAGAAGUUAUAGUCCUCGUGCCCGAUCUCCAAGACGUCGCAGUCCCUCUCCUCGUGGGCGUGGGCACAGCAAGUCUCCACCAUAUCGUGGUCGUGAGGAGUUGCCAUAUGCUAAUGGGUGAAGUUCCUUGAACUUUAUGCUAGUAGCUAGAAAGGCUUUCUGAUUGCUAUCUUUUCUGCCAAUAAAUAAGCAAGUGUAUAUAACCGAAAUGGUGCAAGGGAACACCGACAAAGCAGGAGCUAAGUACUGCAAGGAUGUAAAAUUUAUCGAGGAGACUGAGAUUAAGUGUGUUUAGUUUGUUUGGACUUCAAUGAUACUAUUUUUAUUGGGCAACGCCCUCGGCCUCUUGGAUUUGGAUAAGUUCCUUUCUGUUUUUCUUUAGUUCUAUGAUGCUUUUCUUUGCUUCAUCUUAUGCCAGAACAUAGUCUUUUUUCUCCGGUAGGAGAAAAGAAGCCUAAGCUUCUAUAAAUUUAUUGAGAAAUCAUUCCUGGAA